rnacentral:rRNA from 1 species
GUACUACCAACCUGCCGUCUACUCUUGGACAGCCUUCUGAAAGGAAGAUUAAUACCCGAUGGCAUAGUUCUUCCGCAUGGUGGAACUAUUAAAGAAUUUCGGUCAUCGAUGGGGAUGCGUUCCAUUAGGUUGUUGGCGGGGUAACGGCCCACCAAGCCUUCGAUGGAUAGGGGUUCUGAGAGGAAGGUCCCCCACAUUGGAACUGAGACACGGUCCAAACUCCUACGGGAGGCAGCAUG